GACCACGUAGCUCAGUUGGCAGAGCAUUGGACUAGUAUCCCAAAGGUCGCGGGUUCGUUUCCCACCGUGGCCA